rnacentral:lncRNA from 1 species
GCGGAAGGCGUCCUUGAUAAGAUAAGUCUUAUAAGAUAUAUAGAUUUAUGAUAAUUAAGACUGAGCUAGCAUAUAAGAAAUCCUACCCAAUUGGCCAGCAGUGUUUGAAACUAAUAUAAGUCUCCAUGUGUUAUUUGGAGCCAUAACACGGCGGGCAGAACUUAGGCAGCUGGUGGAAAGCGCCCAUGUGGCAGCAGGGCUCUGGCAGAUGGAGUAAAGACUUAUCAUUACAUAUGUGUGAGUGACUGUGUGAGUGUGUAUGAGCAUAUAUGAGUGAGUGUGUGUGUUCAUGUAUGCAUGUAGACUAGAGGUACAUGUCAAGUGUCUUCUUUAAAUAAUUCUCCCUCAAUUUUUGAGACAGGGUCUCUCAUCCAACCUAGAGCUGAAGAUGGAAUGUUCUUCUGUAUAUAUGUUUGUCUUAUUGGUUGAUUAAUAAAAUACUGUUUGGCCAGCCAGGAUGAUAGGUAGGAGAAGGAGACAAGGAGGAUUCUGGGAAGUGUAGACAGAGAGGAGUCAUCAUGUGAUCCCAGGAAGUGAUAUAGCUGGGCAGGAAAUGCCACUAGCUAACCGUAGAGGUCUGGAGGUCUGUACAGACAGGCAGGAAGUGACAUAGCUGGGCAGAAUAAGAAUAUAAGCAGGGACAAAUAGGAAAUCACUCUCUCUCUCUUCUCUGUGGAGAUGCUGAACAGUCUCGAUGUAGCUGGCAAAGGAGUUGCAGACCCGGCAUUUCCGUAAGCCAAGAAGUUAACAACCGGGAGAUUUAAAACCUCUGCUCCUCUUGAACCUCUAUCGUCUUCAGCUGCUACUGGGGCCAUCUUGAUAUCUGUGGCCUGUGCUACCACCAGAGACUAUGUUGAUGUCCAUGGUCAGGGCUGUUGCAGAAGACCAUGUUCGUGGCUGUGGUCCAUGCUGCCACCAGGAACCAUGUAGAAGGCCACGAUCCAUGCUCUCAUUGGCUGCUAUGGACAAGGAAACUUCAUUUGCUUGGUGUUGAUAUCCAUGGCUGUAGACUCAUAACUGAGAACAAGAGAGACGCUGAAGGCUUCCGUGACAACAACCCCCCCCAAAAAAAACAUUCCAGACAGGAAGCUAUUGAAGAG